CAAUCGGUUGAUUAUUUCGCGGGCAUCGACGGUUGUUCUGUUAUUCUGAAUCACGAAUCUCUACAAACGGUUCCCGAGCCUAAAACUGUGCUUAUCUUCGCAUCGAUUUCCCCUGCCGGUGGCGGUGAGCCCGCCGUUCAAACCCGAUGACGUAUUUGGAGGGGAAUGACGGUGGUCGCUCAAGGGAGGGCGAUGGUGACUACGUUAAAUUACGGUGGGGAACUCAAGAUUCUCAAUCGGAGGUCGCACUUCCUUCUCCGCCACCGCGAGGUGCUGCGAAGCUAUGGUUUUGGGUUAAAUUGGUGGCGUCUUUCCUAUGUCUAGGGCUAUUGGCUUUCAUUGUUUUCCAAUGGGUUGGACCCUUUUUUAUAGAAAAGGUGAUUAUUCCAAUAACAAAUUGGGAGAGGAACAGAUUCAGUCCUUCGGAGUUAGCGGUUAUGUUGUUUGGUUCUAUAGCACUAUUUCCUACCUUGCUUUUGCCCUCUUCACCUUCCAUGUGGAUGGCUGGAAUGCUAUUUGGUUAUGUUUUAGGAUUCAUGCUAAUAAUUUCUGCAGCUGCUGUGGGAGUAUCCCUCCCCUUUUUCAUUGGUUCAAUCUUCCAUCGCAAAAUCGAAGGGUGGUUAGAAAAGUAUCCAAAGAAAGCUUCUGUUUUAAGAUUUGCCGGUGAAGGAAAUUGGUUUCAUCAGUUUCAAGCAAUUACUUUAAUAAGGAUUUCUCCAUUCCCGUAUAUUCUCUUCAACUAUUGUGCCGUCGCAACAACUGUUAAGUAUGGCCCUUACUUGUGCGGAUCCUUGGUAGGAAUGGUGCCAGAAGUACUUGUUUCACUCUAUACGGGAAUUUUGAUCCGAACGUUGGCCAAUGCUUCACAUAAAGAGCACACUAUAUCUGUCGUGCAAAUUGUCCUCAAUGUUGUUGGCUUGUGCAUAACUGUAGCUACGGUAUAUUUUAUCACAGUCUAUGCUAAGAGGCGGCUCAAAGAGUUACAGAAAGGGGAUGAGCUGCUAUUGCAAUAAUCCUGUAGUUUUAGUCUGGGUUCAUUGCUGACUGCAUGAGGCUGCUUCCAAUAACUCUCAUAUUGCCAUAUAUUGAUGAACACGACAUAGCUGAGUGUGGUCUUCUAAGAGGUAGUAUAUACAGAAAACAUGAUUGUAUAAUUGGGGGGAGAAGCGCAUCUUUGGAAACUUGUUCAUCACGAUGAAGUCAAAUCUUUGAUGGACAGAAGCAGCUUCUCUUAACUUUGGCUUCUGCCCACCACAAUUUUAGAUUCACUGUUGUUUUCGAACGAGUUUCCUUUCUUUCUAGUAAAAUUGCUUUGAUCUUUUCCCCUUAAUGAUACCUUGUCACUUGUAUCAAUGUUUGAAGAUUUAUACAUGUGCGAGCUUGUCAUGAUAGUUGUAAUGAAUAUGGUAAAAAUAUCCAGGCCAUUCAUUCAAGGGGGAUUUACUUUGCCAACUAAGGCAUAGAUUGGAACAUUAAAAUAUAUACGUCACUUCCUGUAUAA